rnacentral:rRNA from 1 species
CGGGUGAGUAACGCGUAAUCAACCUGCCCUUCAGAGGGGGACAACAGUUGGAAACGACUGCUAAUACCGCAUACGAUCUGACCUCGGCAUCGAGGAUAGAUGAAAGGUGGCCUCUACAUGUAAGCUAUCACUGAAGGAGGGGAUUGCGUCUGAUUAGCUAGUUGGAGGGGUAACGGCCCACCAAGGCGAUGAUCAGUAGCCGGUCUGAGAGGAUGAACGGCCACAUUGGGAAUGAGACACGGCCCAGACUCCUACGGGAGGCAGCAGUGGGGAAUCUUCCGCAAAUGGAACGGAAAGUUCUUGACGGAGCAACGCCGCGUGGAGUGAAUGAACGGUUCUUUCGGGAUUGGUAAAAGCUUCUUG